rnacentral:rRNA from 1 species
UUGGUUGUCGCUGGCCUUUAUUGGCAUGUGCACGCUUUCUCUUUCAUCCACACACACCUGUGCACCCGUGAGACGGAGAGCUUGCCCUUUAGCGAGGGUGUUUUCUCCGUCUGCCAAUACACAAACUCAUAUCAUAAUUUGAAUGUAAUCGAUGUAACGCAUCUAUAAACUAAGUUUCAACAACGGAUCUCUUGGCUCUCGCAUCGAUGAAGAACGCAGCGAAAUGCGAUAAGUAAUGUGAAUUGCAGAAUUCAGUGAAUCAUCGAAUCUUUGAACGCACCUUGCGCCCCUUGGUAUUCCUUGGAGCAUGCCUGUUUGAGUAUCAUGAAAUUCUCAAAGCAAAUCUUUUGUUAAUUCGAUUGGUUUUGUUUUGGACUUGGAGGCCUUGCGGAUUCACGUCUGCUCCUCUUAAAAACAUUAGCUGGAUCUCAGUGAGCUCGGUUCCACUCGGCGUGAUAAGUAUCACUCGCUGAGGACACCCCUAAAAAAGGUGGCCGGGAUUUGCAGAUGAACCGCUUCUAACAGUCUAUUGAAUUGGACAACAUACUUUAUGAUCUGAUCUCAAAUCAGGUAGGACUACCCGCUGAACUUAAGCAUAUC